CAGUGGCAUCACUUCCAGCCAUUGUCAUCAACAUCGGCCUGGCUCUGCCGCCUGGACCCAGACCCAGCACUAUUGAGGAAGAUACGGACCAACUAAGGAGCCUUCUUGCCGAGCCCCCAGGAAUGCACCAAGAAAAGUCAGAUGCAUCAUCAGGCGGGCUUGGAGGCUGUCUGAAACAAGGCUGCACUUGAACUUCGCCACUACUGUGGGUAAGGAAAUACAGGACAUGAUAUUGGAGGCAGCCGGCAACCUGCUAAUGCCCAAGGAGAAGCUUACGAGAUUUCUCACAGCUACAUCCCUUAAGAGGAGGCACUUGCCAAGAGGAACAGAUUCAGGGAUCAUCAUCUUUGGUGCCCCUAUACUAACUACAAGGGUGGAGUUGGACCAUCUACCACCUUGACUUGUUCAGUGGGGCUGAGCAGACUUCUAGAACCAGUUGCUGACAGCCACCACACCCACUUCCAUGUGUACGUGACCAUCUUGAGCUAAGUGAGAAGUCGGACAUGCGUUCAAGUCAGGGUGUAUUGCUUGCACUGACAUGAUACAGUCCUGAUUUAAGAAUCCUGUAUGGGAGGCUGCUGCCAUUGGCUUGAUUCUUAAUGUUACCCUCUCACUGUACAAUUAAAUCAGAGUUGAAAACCA